rnacentral:rRNA from 1 species
UCCGAAUAGGGCGCAUAGUUGCUGGGCGUAGACCCGAAACCAAGUGAUCUAUCCAUGGCCAGGUUGAAGGUGCCGUAACAGGUACUGGAGGACCGAACCCACUAGUGUUGCAAAACUAGGGGAUGAGCUGUGGAUAGGGGUGAAAGGCUAAACAAACUUGGAAAUAGCUGGUUCUCUCCGAAAACUAUUUAGGUAGUGCCUCACGUAUCACUCUCGGGGGUAGAGCACUGUCAUGGCUAGGGGGUCAUCGCGACUUACCAAACCAUAGCAAACUCCGAAUACCGAGAAGUGCGAGCGUGGGAGACAGACAUCGGGUGCUAACGUCCGGUGUCAAGAGGGGAAACAACCCAGACCGCCAGCUAAGGUCCCAAAUGACGUGCUAAGUGGUAAACGAAGUGGGAAGGCAUAGACAGCCAGGAUGUUGGCUUAGAAGCAGCCAUCAUUUAAAGAAAGACGUAAUAGCUCACUGGUCGAGUCGUCCUGCGCGGAAGAUGUAACGGGG